UCUUAAUGUUAACCUGAACGCGUCUAGCUGUUUUAGCCAUAGAGUUUACCAGCUGUCAUGAAUGACAGUUAUGACAUUGACAUUCAUGAUUGGCAAAAUAUGAAAGGAUUGUUCAUUACUAUAAAAUAGAUUUGAUUGAUUUUCUGUAAAAGAAAUAACAAAACCCUUAAAUAGAGGCUUUAAAUGUUGUUUCUUUUGUCUUUACAGAGAAACGCAAUUACGCCUUUGUUUUAUUCACAACAGUGAAAUAUUAUUAUA